rnacentral:rRNA from 1 species
GAUGAACGCUGGCGGCGUGCCUAAUACAUGCAAGUAGAACGCUGAAGGAGGAGCUUGCUCUUCUGGAUGAGUUGCGAACGGGUGAGUAACGCGUAGGUAACCUGCCUGGUAGCGGGGGAUAACUAUUGGAAACGAUAGCUAAUACCGCAUGACAACAGUUAUUGCAUGAUAACUGUUUAAAAGGGGCAACUGCUCCACUACCAGAUGGACCUGCGUUGUAUUAGCUAGUUGGUGAGGUAACGGCUCACCAAGGCGACGAUACAUAGCCGACCUGAGAGGGUGAGCGGCCAAACUGGGACUGAGACACGGCCCAGACUCCUACGGGAGGCAGCAGUAGGGAAUCUUCGGCAAUGGACGGAAGUCUGAUCGAGCAACGCCGCGUGAGUGAAGAAGGUUUUCGGAUCGUAAAGCUCUGUUGUAAGAGAAGAACGAGUGUGAGAGUGGAAAGUUCACACUGUGACGGUAUCUUACCAGAAAGGGACGGCUAACUACGUG